UUGGAGGGCAAGUCUGGUGCCAGCAGCCGCGGUAAUUCCAGCUCCAAUAGCGUAUAUUAAAGUUGUUGCAGUUAAAAAGCUCGUAGUUGAAUUUCGGGAUCAGUACGUUGGUCGUGCCUUAGGUACGUACUGGUGUUACUGGUUCCUACCUUCUGACGAACCAUCAUGUCAUUCAUUUGGUGUGGCGGGGAAUCAGGACUGUUACUUUGAAAAAAUUAGAGUGUUUAAAGCAGGCUCGCGCUUGAAUACAUUAGCAUGGAAUAAUGAAAUAGGACGUUGAUCCUAUUUUGUUGGUUUCUAGGAUCGACGUAAUGAUUAAUAGGGAUAGUUGGGGGCAUUAGUAUUCAAUUGUCAGAGGUGAAAUUCUUGGAUUUAUUGAAGACUAACUACUGCGAAAGCAUUUGCCAAGGAUGUUUUCAUUAAUCAAGAACGAAAGUUAGGGGAUCGAAGACGAUCAGAUACCGUCGUAGUCUUAACCAUAAACUAUGCCGACUAGGGAUCGGAUGAUGUUAUUUUUAAUGACUCAUUCGGCGCCUUACGGGAAAC
rnacentral:rRNA from 1 species